rnacentral:rRNA from 1 species
GGAUCUUGCGACAAUGGGCGAAAGCCUGACGCAGCAACGCCGCGUGCGGGAGGACGGCCUUCGGGUUGUAAACCGCUUUUCGGGGGGAAGAGGAAGGACGGUACCCCCGGAAGAAGUCUCGGCUAACUACGUGCCAGCAGCCGCGGUAAAACGUAGGAGGCGAGCGUUAUCCGGAAUUAUUGGGCGUAAAGAGCUCGUAGGCGGUUUGUCACGUCUGCUGUGAAAACUGGGGGCUCAACCCCCAGCCUGCAGUGGGUACGGGCAGACUAGAGUGCGGUAGGGGAGAUUGGAAUUCCUGGUGUAGCGGUGGAAUGCGCAGAUAUCAGGAGGAACACCGAUGGCGAAGGCAGAUCUCUGGGCCGUAACUGACGCUGAGGAGCGAAAGCAUGGGGAGCGAACAG